CCUACGGGAGGCAGCAGUAGGGAAUCUUCCGCAAUGGACGAAAGUCUGACGGAGCAAUGCCGCGUGAGUGAAGAAGGUUUUCGGAUCGUAAAACUCUGUUGUUAGAGAAGAACAAGGAUGAGAGUAACUGCUCAUCCCCUGACGGUAUCUAACCAGAAAGCCACGGCUAACUACGUGCCAGCAGCCGCGGUAAUACGUAGGUGGCAAGCGUUGUCCGGAUUUAUUGGGCGUAAAGCGAGCGCAGGCGGUUCUUUAAGUCUGAUGUGAAAGCCCCCGGCUCAACCGGGGAGGGUCAUUGGAAACUGGAGAACUUGAGUGCAGAAGAGGAGAGUGGAAUUCCACGUGUAGCGGUGAAAUGCGUAGAUAUGUGGAGGAACACCAGUGGCGAAGGCGACUCUCUGGUCUGUAACUGACGCUGAGGCUCGAAAGCGUGGGGAGCAAACAGGAUUAGAUACCCUGGUAGUCCACGCCGUAAACGAUGAGUGCUAAGUGUUGGAGGGUUUCCGCCCUUCAGUGCUGCAGCUAACGCAUUAAGCACUCCGCCUGGGGAGUACGACCGCAAGGUUAAACUCGAAGGAAUUGACGG
rnacentral:rRNA from 1 species